CCUACGGGAGGCAGCAGUGAGGAAUAUUGGUCAAUGGUCGGGAGACUGAACCAGCCAAGCCGCGUGAGGGAGGAAGGUACAGAGUAUCGUAAACCUCUUUUGUCAGGGAACAAAGGCGGGGACGUGUCCCCGGAUGAGUGUACCUGUAGAAAAAGCAUCGGCUAACUCCGUGCCAGCAGCCGCGGUAAUACGGAGGAUGCGAGCGUUAUCCGGAUUUAUUGGGUUUAAAGGGUGCGCAGGCGGUCUGUUAAGUCAGCGGUCAAAGCCCGGGGCUCAACCCCGGCCCGCCGUUGAAACUGGCAGUCGCGAGUUGGAGAGAAGUAUGCGGAAUGCGCGGUGUAGCGGUGAAAUGCAUAGAUAUCGCGCAGAACUCCGAUUGCGAAGGCAGCAUGCCGGCUCCACACUGACGCUGAGGCACGAAAGCGUGGGUAUCGAACAGGAUUAGAUACCCGUGUAGUC
rnacentral:rRNA from 1 species